rfam:Otolemur garnettii contig059043, whole genome shotgun sequence.
ACAAAGGCUCUUUUCAGAGCCACCCACCAUUUCCGUUAAAUGAGCU